rnacentral:rRNA from 1 species
UAGGGAAUCUUCCACAAUGGGCGAAAGCCUGAUGGAGCAACGCCGCGUGUGUGAUGAAGGGUUUCGGCUCGUAAAACACUGUUGUAAGAGAAGAGUGACAUUGAGAGUAACUGUUCAAUGUUGUGACGGUAUCUUACCAGAAAGGAACGGCUAAAUACGUGCUAG